AACAUUAUGUACGAUUGGUACGGCGCUGUAGACGUCUCGGACUGUCCCGUACAAAACGUAGAUAAUGUUCA
rnacentral:precursor_RNA from 1 species